rnacentral:rRNA from 1 species
UACAGAGGUGGCGAGCGUUGCUCGGAAUUACUGGGCGUAAAGGGCGCGUAGGCGGUCAGCACAAGUCAGUUGUGAAAUCUCCGGGCUUAACUCGGAAAGGUCAACUGAUACUGUGCGACUAGAGUGCAGAAGGGGCAACUGGAAUUCUCGGUGUAGCGGUGAAAUGCGUAGAUAUCGAGAGGAACACCUGCGGCGAAGGCGGGUUGCUGGGCUGACACUGACGCUGAGGCGCGAAAGCCAGGGGAGCGAACGGG